UGAAAAUAAAGCGGUCAAGCACUUCUUUCCCAGACCUAUUUCUUUUCUUCCCCAGGGCAGUAUUUCCCAAUUAUCCCUUCCUGUCAUCAUCACCUUCUUGUCCGUGCUCAUCAGCAUCUCAGACAAGUUACUAUGAAAAUCAGG
rfam:Pteropus alecto contig30067, whole genome shotgun sequence.